rnacentral:lncRNA from 10 species
AGUGGUGGGAGGGGAAUAAGAUCAAGAGAACAAGUGGAGAUGUUAACCCUAGACAGGGAGGAAUAUUGAAAUGGGAGGAAAAGAGGAUUGAAAGAAAAGGUAAAUGUGUAAGUUUAGUGGCAAGAAAUAGAAAAAAUUUCACAAGUGGUAAGGGAGAAAUGGCCUGGAAGCAGAAGUAGGGAGUAAAGAAGAUCAUGACCUAACCUUUUGAUCCAAAGGUUUUAUAUGGAAUGUGGGGAAAAGAGCAGCUUUCACUUGAGACAUGGCUGCUGAGUGUUUCUGGGGGAGCCAGGUUUCAAUCAAGUCAAGGAGGGAAGGCUCAAUGAAGAGGUCCAGGCUGUAGGGGGCUGGAUCAUGGGAUGAGAGUUACAGAGGGCUCAGAGUGAAGAUCUGGAAGGGAGGAGAGGAAUGGGGAUUGGGUUGAGAAGGAAGAGAACGGGAUACCAGUUGGGCUUAGGUCUUGGGUGGGGAUCAAGGAUAACAAGGUUUUUUCUACUGUGUUUGGAGAGUUUCCCUGGCUGAGAGUACACCAAGAAGUUGAUCUCCUGGUUGGGGGAGUAGCACCUGACAAUUCAAUAUGUGGAUCCUUCUUGGAAGUAACAGAGCAUGCUGGCCAAAGAGUUACUGCAAAAAUGCUCCUAAAUCAAGUAAACAAGGAAAAGAACAGGAGCUGAUAAUGCUGUUGUUUGUUAAUGCUCUUAUUGUAAACUACUUUUUGGAAGAUAAACCUUUUGUGGGAAGGCCAGGUACUAGGCUCCUUCAUUGCCUUAGAUGAUCCAAGAGACUGAGUAAUCAAGAUGGAGCAAAGAGCAAGAAGAGUGUCUGCAACACUUUUAACUUCACAAAGAAGUUACCAGGCAGAAGGGGACAAUUGCAGUGACUGAUUUUCCUGACAAAAUGACAGUGUCUUGACAAUGGCUAUGAAGUCUUGAUGACCCUUAACAUCUCAUAGAACAAAGAAGUCAGUAGAGCAAGGUGAAAAUGUUAAAGGAGGAAUACAAGAAACACAAAAGAAAGAUGACAGGGUGACAAGUUAAACAUAAUCCACGGAAUAAGAAACGUCAGAAGCCUCCUCCGCAGUACACCUACAAACACCUGCCCUUUUGUUAAUAGAUAAAAGAGAGCCUCUCACUGUAACUCCUUAACUUCCUUGGUGGAGGGAAAUCAGAUGGCUAGAAAGUGUGGUGGUGCCUGGUGUGAAAGACUUAACUGGGCAACACAUCCAGCAAGCUGUAUUUAACCUUCAUCAGUCUUUUAUUUGUACCCCCUAAAUCCUGGUUAUUGAAGUCUUCCAACUCCACCUCAUCUCUCCUUUUAUUGUCCCACUCAUAAAAUCUCAUAGGAGUAAAUAGAUUAGACAUAUUUACUGAUUAGGGCAGACAUAUUCCUCAUAUGUACUGAGGAAGAGUGAUAGGGGGAUCACCUUGGCCUGAAACCCUCUAUCAGGAGCCAAUUUUCAAGAAGAUAAGAAAAUAAUCAGCCACUUGUGAUCUUCUUUCCUUAAUUAUAUGAGAUCCUAUCCAAAUUUUCAAUCCACUGUCACUGACCUCUGAGGACCUUUGAUGCCUUUGACCUGGCUCUAGUGGAGUACCUUCCAUUCUUCCAAAUAGUCCCCCCAUUUGCCUUGGCCUUAAAUUCCACCAUGAAGGGGGAGUCUUUUAUUUUAAGCAUUUCUUUUUAUCUAAUAAUAAAAGAUAGAGGAAAUAAGAUAGUGGGAUUCGAAAUAACGUAACACAAAUUAAUUAUUCAUAUCAGUUUCUCUACUAGAGGAAAUGCAAUAGUUGAUUAAGGAUCAGAGGAAGGAAAAUCCUUCAAUGAAACAUUGAAAGAAAGCUGAAGAAUUUGUAGUGAGAGAAAACAAUUAUCUUAACAAACAUUUUUAUAUUAUAAUUCUUUUUCCCUUCUGGACAUCAGAUGCAGAUAAUUGAGUUCGUGAUUCAAUUCGUGGGUCAUUAUCAUCACUGGCCGCAGCAAGGCUUUAUUUGUAAAAAUUUUUUUCCAUUUUAUUUCCGUUCCUCAUUCCCAUUCCACCUCCCCACAGGUAGCUCUUCUAAUAUAUUAAAUGUGUACCUUUUUGUUUGCAUGUGUUCUUGCAAAAUGCAUAUUUUUGUGUACAUCAAAUUUACAUAAAUAAUAUCACAUCAUAAAAUUCAAUCCAUUUUAGAUUUUAUUUUCCUUGGACCAUAUUUUAAGAGCCAUGCAUGUUGCUGUGUGUACAUAUAAUCCCUUGCCUCUAACCACUACACAAUGUGCACAUUUUCCCUACAUACUCUCCCAGUGAUGUUGACCAAUAUUACCUCCAGUUAUCGCACCCCAAAUGAUGCUGAAACCAAUAUACAUGUACAUGACCCUUAUGGAACUGUGUGAGAAUUACUUUGAACUCUAUGUGCA